rnacentral:rRNA from 1 species
AGUGAACGCUGGCGGUAGGCCUAACACAUGCAAGUCGAACGGCAGCACAGUAAGAGCUUGCUCUUACGGGUGGCGAGUGGCGGACGGGUGAGGAAUACAUCGGAAUCUACUUUUUCGUGGGGGAUAACGUAGGGAAACUUACGCUAAUACCGCAUACGACCUACGGGUGAAAGCAGGGGAUCUUCGGACCUUGCGCGAUUGAAUGAGCCGACGUCGGAUUAGCUAGUUGGCGGGGUAAAGGCCCACCAAGGCGACGAUCCGUAGCUGGCCUGAGAGGAUGAUCAGCCACACUGGAACUGAGACACGGUCCAGACUCCUACGGGAGGCAGCAGUGGGGAAUAUUGGACAAUGGGCGCAAGCCUGAUCCAGCCAUACCGCGUGGGUGAAGAAGGCCUUCGGGUUGUAAAGCCCUUUUGUUGGGAAAGAAAAGCAGCAGGUUAAUACCCCGCUGUUCUGACGGUACCCAAAGAAUAAGCACCGGCUAACUUCGUG